UACGUAGGGGGCAAGCGUUGUCCGGAAUUAUUGGGCGUAAAGAGCGUGUAGGCGGCCAGAUAAGUCCGCUGUGAAAUCUCGAGGCUCAACUUCGAGCUGUCGGUGGAAACUAUCUGGCUAGAGUCCGGAAGAGGAGAAUGGAAUUCCUGGUGUAGUGGUGAAAUGCGUAGAUAUCGGGAGGAACACCAGUGGCGAAGGCGGCUUCCUGGCCUGUUCUUGACGCUGAGGCGCGAAAGCUAGGGGAGCAAACGGG
rnacentral:rRNA from 1 species